GAUGAACGCUGGCGGCGUGCUUAACACAUGCAAGUCGAACGGGAAUUAUUUUAUUGAAACUUCGGUCGAUUUAAUUUAAUUCUAGUGGCGGACGGGUGAGUAACGCGUGGGUAACCUGCCUUAUACAGGGGGAUAACAGUCAGAAAUGGCUGCUAAUACCGCAUAAGCGCACAGAGCUGCAUGGCUCAGUGUGAAAAACUCCGGUGGUAUAAGAUGGACCCGCGUUGGAUUAGCUUGUUGGCAGGGUAACGGCCUACCAAGGCGACGAUCCAUAGCCGGCCUGAGAGGGUGAACGGCCACAUUGGGACUGAGACACGGCCCAGACUCCUACGGGAGGCAGCAGUGGGGAAUAUUGCACAAUGGGGGAAACCCUGAUGCAGCGACGCCGCAUGAAGGAAGAAGUAUCUCGGUAUGUAAACUUCUAUCAGCAGGGAAGAUAGUGACGGUACCUGACUAAGAAGCCCCGGCUAACUACGUG
rnacentral:rRNA from 1 species